CACACCCAGAACUUCAUUUACGCCAAAAAAAAGCCUCUUUUUUCCACAGAACAUCUUUUUUUUAUUAUUAUUUUUUAUUUUUUUCCCAGCGUGGUUGCUCGAGAGAAGGAUGGGAAGGAGAUCUCGCAGUAUAAAAAGAAGAUUUUGGUCCAGAUGAAAAACUCCAGAAAUUGAAAGAAGAAUUCGCGUUCAGCUGAGUAAGAAUAGAACAGGAAACUACAAAUGUCACCGGAUUGUACCAUGAAAAGCGAUGCUGUGCCAAACCCGAGCCCUUCCCCGAGUGAUUCUCCUGGAAUAUUCCUCUUGUGCCAAGAAAUGACACGGUGUCCUUCCAUCUCUCCAGGACCUGUCUGCUCCUCUGCCAGGAGACACGGCGGGGAAAACUCCGAGAAAAUAAUUAGUUAGGCAUAUUCAAGGAGAUUUGAUGAUAAGGCCGAAGGAAAAUACAGGCGUGGAUUUGAUUUCUUAUUUUUAUUUUUAUAUUUUUUUCUUUUAUUCUACUUUUUCCGUGGAGGAUUUCAAACACCCGAUGGUUUUACAGAGAGCAGAAAGUCUUUAAGUUGUUAUGGCAAAGCAGGAGGAGCUGGCAGCCAUGAAAAGGAAGUUGCAUGUCAUAUUAAAAGUGAGCUAGAACUGUCUGGGGUAUUAAUAGACAAACAGAACGAGAGAAAACAGCAUACAAAACAUUACCCGGAAAAAAAGGAAAAAAAAAAAAAAAGAGUUCUCAAAGCAAAAGCAGAACUUUUGAAGAGUUAGAUCCUCAAUUUGUGGCCAUACCUAAGAAAAGGCAAAGCAAAUCAGUGAACUAAUUGAUCCUAGAAGCAAACUGAGCCCUUGUUAGGGACUUCAAGCUUGCAAAAGAGGGUGGAGGGAAGUCAGGCAAGAAUAAUUAGAAGGAAGAAACCCUUCCCCUCUCAGAAAAUCUCACAUCGGGUCUGAGGUGGAAAUCAUAAAAGAAACUCUGCUUCCACUUCAGGAAACAGAAACAUGAUUUUGUUCACUAAGAUUAAGAUCUGGACUCAUUUCUGUAGGUACUGAGGCUUUACUACCCCUAGCAAAGAUAAAAAAACAACCUCAUAAGUAGUGUGCUACAGGUUGAACUGAUGUAAUUCUUUACAUUCAACAGAAAAAACUUCUAUUUGCUGGAAGGAAACAGGAGAGACAGCAAGCUGUGGUUUACAUGUGCAGCAUCUCAAAUUAUCAGUGAUGUCCUGAUCUAAAGUCACAGCUGCACAGAAGUGUAAAUUCCCAGCCUGGAAAUGUGCUCAGGACACCCAGACCCCACCAGGAAGGGGCAACAAUGGAGCCCCAGCCAGCAGAACAAUCACUUAAAAAUAAAAUUUGCAGGUUUAUUUUGCCCCA
ensembl:lncRNA